UACAGAGGAAUAGCCUUUAGAAAUGAAGAUUAAUGCCUCAUAGUAUUGAGUAUUCGCAUGAAUAUUUAAUUAAAGAUUUAUCGGUAAAAGAUGGCUAUGCGUCCUAUUAGUUAGUUGGUAAGGUAACGGCUUACCAAGACAGCGAUAGGUAGGGGUCCUGAGAGGGAGAUCCCCCACACUGGUACUGAGACACGGACCAGACUCCUACGGGAGGCAGCAGUGAGGAAUAUUGGACAAUGGAGGAGACUCUGAUCCAGCCAUGCCGCGUGUAGGAAGAAUGCCCUAUGGGUUGUAAACUACUUUUAUACAGGAAGAAACACUGGUAUGUAUACCAGCUUGACGGUACUGUAAGA
rnacentral:rRNA from 1 species